rnacentral:rRNA from 1 species
ACGGAAGGCAGCAGUGGGGAAUAUUGGGCAAUGGGCGAAAGCCUGACCCAGCAACGCCGCGUGAAGGAAGAAGGUCUUCGGAUUGUAAACUUCUUUUACAGGGGACGAUAAUGACGGUACCCUGUGAAUAAGCCACGGCUAACUACGUGCCAGCAGCCGCGGUAAUACGUAGGUGGCAAGCGUUAUCCGGAUUUACUGGGUGUAAAGGGCGCGUAGGCGGGAGAGCAAGUCAGAUGUGAAAUCUGUGGGCUUAACUCACAAACUGCAUUUGAAACUGUUUUUCUUGAGUGCUGGAGAGGUAGAUGGAAUUCCUUGUGUAGCGGUGAAAUGCGUAGAUAUAAGGAAGAACACCAGUGGCGAAGGCGAUCUACUGGACAGUAACUGACGCUGAGGCGCGAAAGCGUGGGGAGCAAACAGGAUUAGAUACCCUGGUA